AUACAAUAAUAGCACCGAAUAUGUUUUCUAUACAUAUUGUUAAUAAAAGGAUAAUAAGUUAUUACCCGAUUCCUUGCUAUUUUUCCAUUAAAAAAAAAUGCUAUUUAGUGGUUCACGUUUUAUCUUUAAACAUUUCAUCUUCAGUUUUUUCAUUAAAUCACUAUUUCUAGAAUUUAUUUUGGGGGAGUCGGACCUUUGUUUUGAUAAUAUACAGCCGCUUGUUUAUUCU